rnacentral:lncRNA from 1 species
GGCUGAAGAGUUUAUUGAUCUUUAUUUCUUCUAUAUUUUGGGUUCAAGAAUGUGUUGUCUGGCUUAUUCUCUAUUUAUCUCUUGCAUUACUUUAUUCUCAAUAGUUUUUCCAUAUAGUAGAUAGCUACAUUGCUCCUUCAAUUCAACAUAUUGUCAAAUCUCACCUUCUCCAUGGAUUUUCACUUCCCAUAAAAUAUGGGAAGUAUCUUUCCAUAGAAAGAUUUUUUUUUUUAUUCUAUCUUGUCUUAUAACUCCA